rnacentral:tRNA from 1 species
GCCUUCGUGGUGUAGUUGUCAUGGUCAGCACGCUGAGUGCGUAUUCCAGAGGUCCGGGGUUCGAGUCCCGGCGAAGGCG